rnacentral:rRNA from 1 species
CACAAGCGGUGGAUUAUGUGGAUUAAUUCGAUGCAACGCGAAAAACCUUACCUACCCUUGGCAUGCUUGGAAUCUAAUGGAGACAUAAGAGUGCCCGAAAGGGAGCCAAGACACAGGUGCUGCAUGGCUGUCGUCAGCUCGUGUCGUGAGAUGUUGGGUUAAGUCCCGCAACGAGCGCAACCCUUGUCACUAAUUGCUAUCAUUUUUAAUGAGCACUUUAGUGAGACUGCCGGUGACAAACCGGAGGAAGGUGGGGAUGACGUCAAGUCCUCAUGGCCCUUA